rnacentral:rRNA from 1 species
CCUACGGGUGGCAGCAGUGGGGAAUAUUGCACAAUGGGGGAAACCCUGAUGCAGCAACGCCGCGUGAAGGAAGACGGUUUUCGGAUUGUAAACUUCUGUUCUUAGGGAAGAAUAAUGACGGGAGCUAAGGAGCAAGCCACGGCUAACUACGUGCCAGCAGCCGCGGUAAUACGUAGGUGGCAAGCGUUGUCCGGAAUUACUGGGUGUAAAGGGAGCGCAGGCGGGAAGCCAAGUCAGCUGUGAAAACUACGGGCUUAACUUGUAGACUGCAGUUGCAACUGGUUUUCUUGAGUGAUGUCGAGGUUGGCGUACUUCCGGUUGUGGCGUUGAACUGCGUCUC